ensembl:lncRNA
GCUGAGUAUCUGAAGUUAGUGUAUCUCUUUUCCUGUGCGUGUAUCCAUAUGUUUACCUUCUGUGUUGUCAAUUUCUCAGAGCCCAAACCCAGGGAGCCACCAUGACGUGAUGUACAGCACUGUGAUGCCUGAUCAGUUCAGGACAGAAGAGAAGGAUCCAUUUCCUGAAGCUGAUGAUGAUGUCACAUACAGCACUGUCAGCCUCCAGCACAAGACCCAACUAAAAGGACAGACCAAGUCAGCAGAACCAGAUGAUAAUGUGGUCUACAGCUCACUAGCUCUACAGGUGACCACACAGCAGAGGGAAGCAGCACAGCAGUGACUGACUGAGAAGACCUUGAUCGAGUCCUUAUCCUUU